rnacentral:rRNA from 1 species
ACGGCUCAGUAACACGUGGCUAAUCUGCCCUUGGGACAAGAACAACCCCGGGAAACUGGGGCUAAUUCUUGAUAGGCGAAGAACUCUGGAAUGAGUCUUCACCCAAUAGAUUCAAAGUUAUGCUCUUUGAAUCGCCCAAGGAUGAGGUCGCGACCGAUCAGGUUGUUGGUGAGGUAAUGGCUCACCAAGCCUUUUACCGGUGCGGGCCGUGAGAGCGGGAGCCCGGAGAUGGGCACUGAGACAAGGGCCCAGGCCCUACGGGGCGCAGCAGUCGCGAAAACUUUGCAAUAAGCGAAAGCUUGACAGGGCCAUCCCGAGUGCCAUCCGCUGAGGAAGGCUUUUACCCAGUCUAGAACGCUGGGGGAAUAAGGAGAGGGCAAGUCUGGUGUCAGCCGCCGCGGUAAUACCAGCUCUCCGAGUGGUGCGGAUGUUUAUUGGGCCUAAAGCAUCCGUAGCUGGCUAAGUUAGUCCCUUGUUAAAUCCACCGAAUUAAUCGUUGGAUUGCGGGGGAUACUGCUUGGCUAGGGAACGAGAGAGGCAGACGGUAUUUCCGGGGUAGGGGUGAAAUCCUAUAAUCCCGGGAGGACCACCAGUGGCGAAGGCUGUCUGCUAGAACGCGUCCGACGGUGAGGGAUGAAAGCUGGGGGAGCGAACCGGAUUAGAUACCCGGGUAGUCCCAGCUGUAAACGAUGCAGGCUAGGCGUUUGGACGGCCACGUGCCGUUCUAGUGCCGCAGGGAAGCUGUUAAGCCUGCCGCCUGGGGAGUACGAUCGCAAGAUUGAAACUUAAAGGAAUUGGCGGGGGAGCAC